rnacentral:lncRNA from 1 species
AUGUAUAAUAAGGAUAACCGCAAUGAUUAUGAAAAGGGACAUUUUGUUAGAGAUUAUAAUGAUGAUGUACAUGUGGAUCAUAAUAAUAAAUCUUCGAACGAUCAUGAUAAGGAUGAUAUGAAUAUAGAUCGCACGUAUAUGAAAAAUGGUAAAGAUAAUUAUAAUCAUAAGAUGGAUUCUAAUUUACCUACCAUGAUAUAUAAUAAUAUACCAAAUAAUAUAUGUAACAAUACAUAUAAUACUUAUAAAAAUGUUGAUAAGAAUUUAUUACAUAAUAAUAGUACUACUGUUAAUAAGUAUGAAAUUAGAAAUAGAAAAUGUAUAGUGAAUACUAGUAAUUUUUAUAAAUCAGGUUUUUAUAAUAAUGAUGAAGAAAAUUAUAAUAAUAACAAGAAUAGAGGAGGAAAUAUCGAAAUGUGCAAUACUAACAUGCAUAAUGAUAAAAAGUUGUCAAAUGAUAAUUUGUUGUAUAAAAAAUCUAAACAUUAUGGAUCUAAUGUUUUUAAAAAUACAAAGGGAGAUAAUAGAAAAGGAGUAAAUGAAAUGGAAAUAUAUAAAAAAAUUAAGAAUGAUGAGUUACAUUAUUAUUCCAAAAAAAUAGAUCAUUCAUAUAAUGAUGAAAGCAAAUAUAAACAUGAGAAUAAUAAAUUUGAAAAAAAAACAAUGGAAGGACAUGAAACUAGUACCUUGUUUAACCAGCAUUUAAAUAAAAGUAAUAAUACGAAUAUGUUAAAAGAAGACAUAUACGCAUAUGGUAGUAGUGGUGAUGGUGAUAUUAUUAAUAAUAGUACAAUUAAAACUUUGAAAUCUUUGAUUAAUUCACCUAAUGAAUUAGAUGAUGUUGAAAAACAUAAGAGUAAAAGAAAUACAAAGAUGAAUUUAUUUAGUGAUAAGGAGAAAAAAAGAAAUUUGUCAAUGGAUAAAAACAAAAUAGAAAAAAGAUUUUUACAAAAUGGAAGUAUAAAAGAUAAUGUUGAACAAAAUGAUGAAUAUAAGAGUAACAGUACGAUUGAAAAAUAUAUUAAUGGUGAUAAACUUAAAACAUGUAUAUCAUGUUAUCAAUACAUAAGAGAGGAAGAUGUAUCACAUUCUAGUGAUACUGUAAUGGAAUCAUCAUGUUUAAAAUGUGGACAACUUAUAAAAAAAUCUAUAUGUCAAAUGAUUAUAGAAUUAAUAAAACCGCAAGUGCAAUAUAUAUUUUCAGAUGUUAAUUUUUAUGUUCAAUAUUACCAAGAUUAG